rnacentral:rRNA from 1 species
CUCGUAGUUGGAUUUCUGGCAGGAGCGACCGGUCACACACUCUGUGUGUGAACUUGCGUUGUCUCUGGCCAUCCUUGGGAAGAUCCUGUUUGGCAUUAAGUUGUCGGGCAGGGGAUACCCAUCGUUUACUGUGAAAAAAUUAGAGUGUUUAAAGCAGGCUUAUGCCGUUGAAUAUAUUAGCAUGGAAUAAUAAGAUAGGACUUCGGAACUAUUUUGUUGGUUUGCGUUACGAGGUAAUGAUUAAUAGGGACAGUUGGGGGUAUUCGUAUUUCGUUGUCAGAGGUGAAAUUCUUGGAUUUCCGAAAGACGAACUACUGCGAAAGCAUUUACCAAGGAUGUUUUCAUUAAUCAAGAACGAAAGUUAGGGGAUCGAAGAUGAUUAGAU